rnacentral:tRNA from 1 species
AAGGGAGACCUAAUUCGGGUAGAAGACGAAAAAAUAGUAGUCGAAACCAAGAAUCAACCCCAAAAGGUCGGAACGAGGUAUGUGGCUUUCAAACUAGGUUCUGGGUUCACAAAAGACCUGAAUCAGGAACAAGGGCUAUUAGCUCAGGUGGUUAGAGCGCACCCCUGAUAAGGGUGAGGUCCCUGGUUCGAGUCCAGGAUGGCCCACCUGCACAGGUGGCAAAAACAAGAGAAACGAGGAAUCAGCACCUUAUCUUACUUACAUAGUAAGAGAGAAUGCUGGCUCUGAGUAAAGAGUCCAGAGGAACCUUGAAAACUGCAUAGAGCUAGGUGAAAAAGCCAAAAAAGAAGACCGCAA